AUGCACGCUGGCGGCGUGCCUAAUACAUGCAGGUCGAGCGAACAGACGAGGAGCUUGCUCCUCUGACGUUAGCGGCGGACGGGUGAGUAACACGUGGAUAACCUACCUAUAAGACUGGGAUAACUUCGGGAAACCGGAGCUAAUACCGGAUAAUAUAUUGAACCGCAUGGUUCAAUAGUGAAAGACGGUUUUGCUGUCACUUAUAGAUGGAUCCGCGCCGCAUUAGCUAGUUGGUAAGGUAACGGCUUACCAAGGCGACGAUGCGUAGCCGACCUGAGAGGGUGAUCGGCCACACUGGAACUGAGACACGGUCCAGACUCCUACGGGAGGCAGCAGUAGGGAAUCUUCCGCAAUGGGCGAAAGCCUGACGGAGCAACGCCGCGUGAGUGAUGAAGGUCUUCGGAUCGUAAAACUCUGUUAUUAGGGAAGAACAAAUGUGUAAGUAACUAUGCACGUCUUGACGGUACCUAAUCAGAAAGCCACGGCUAACUACGUG
rnacentral:rRNA from 1 species